AACGCAUAUUGCGCCCUCUGGUAUUCCGGGGGGCAUGCCUGUCCGAGCGUCAUUACAACCUUCAAGCACGGCUUGUGUGUUGAGCAUUUUGUUCCCAUUUUGGUGAACAAGGCUCGAAAUGCAGUGGCGAUGCCUAAAUUGGUUGCCUGAACGUAUGGGGCUUCGUCACACGUUCUUGUGGCUCCAGUUUUGCAUUCCGUCUCAAAACUCCUUUUUAAAACCGAAUUGACCUCGGAUCAGGUAGGAAUACCCGCUGAACUUAA
rnacentral:misc_RNA from 1 species